UCGAGCGCACUGGCCCAACUGAUCUGACGUGCUUGCACUGAAGUGACGAUGGAUUACCAGUGAGCGGCGGACGGGUGAGUAACACGUGGGCAACCUGCCCUGAAGCGGGGGAUAACAUUUGAAAACAGGUGCUAAUACCGCAUAACAACGAAAACCACAUGGUUUUCGUUUGAAAGAUGGUUUCGGCUAUCACUUCAGGAUGGACCCGCGGUGCAUUAGCUAGUUGGUAGGGUAACGGCCUACCAAGGCAAUGAUGCAUAGCCGAGUUGAGAGACUGAUCGGCCACAACGGAACUGAGACACGGUCCAUACUCCUACGGGAGGCAGCAGUAGGGAAUCUUCCACAAUGGGCGCAAGCCUGAUGGAGCGACACCGCGUGAGUGAAGAAGGGUUUCGGCUCGUAAAACUCUGUUGUUGAAGAAGAACGUGCGUGAGAGUAACUGUUCACGCAGUGACGGUAUUCAACCAGAAAGUCACGGCUAACUACGUG
rnacentral:rRNA from 1 species